GGAGUUAGCCGGUGCUUCUUCUGCGAGUAACGUCACAGAUGUAAGGUAUUAACUUACACCCUUUCCUCCUCGCUGAAAGUGCUUUACAACCCGAAGGCCUUCUUCACACACGCGGCAUGGCUGCAUCAGGGUUUCCCCCAUUGUGCAAUAUUCCCCACUGCUGCCUCCCGUAGGAGUCUGGGCCGUGUCUCAGUCCCAGUGUGGCUGAUCAUCCUCUCAGACCAGCUAGGGAUCGUCGCCUAGGUGAGCCUUUACCUCACCUACUAGCUAAUCCCACCUGGGCUUAUCCAUCAGCGCAAGGCCCGAAGGUCCCCUGCUUUCCCCCGUAGGGCGUAUGCGGUAUUAGCAGUCGUUUCCAACUGUUAUCCCCACAAAUGGGCAAAUUCCCAGGCAUUACUCACCCGUCCGCCGCUCGUCAUCUUCAAAAGCAAGCUUUUGAAAUGUUACCGCUCGACUUGCAUGUGUUAGCUCGCCGCCAGCGUCAUCUGAGCAUGAUACAACUACUCGA
rnacentral:rRNA from 1 species